CGCUUUAGUUGUUUGACGGGUGCGCGCGGUUUGUGUGUGUGCCAUGCUGUGUUCUACAAUGCUUCGUUACCACGUUUAUCGAUUAUGCACGUUGGUUACGUGAUUCAAUAUCAAGUGUACCUUCCAAGACGAUCUAGGUCCUAGUCUCGUGACUGACGGCGAGUGCGGACGUACAGCAGCCUUUUGACAAGACUGUCGCCGAGUGUACGGUACAUUGUGGACUGUAAAGCUGAAGAGUGCGCAGUGGAUGCCUGAUUUUGGAACCGAGUGUGAUCGUCUGGGCGGUGUGUUCACUCUGCGGGGAUGAUGGCCAGAGGAAGGAUGAUAGACAGACGACAGCUUGCAGAAGAAGAUGGGAGCGUUCUACCUGUGAGCCUGGUCGAGUUUAUAUUUUAUGGUAGGCAUUUGUUUCAAUCUUUA